GACGUAGGGCGCGAGCGUUGUCCGGAUUUAUUGGGCGUAAAGAGCUCGUAGGCGGCUUGUCGCGUCGUCCGUGAAAACCUGCGGCUCAACUGCAGGCUGGCGGUCGAUACGGGCAGGCUGGAGUUCGGUAGGGGAGACUGGAAUUCCUGGUGUAGCGGUGAAAUGCGCAGAUAUCAGGAGGAACACCGGUGGCGAAGGCGGCAUCCUGGACCGGUAUUGACGCUGAGGCGCGAAAGCCAGGGGAGCAAACGGG
rnacentral:rRNA from 1 species